rnacentral:misc_RNA from 1 species
GGUUAUUGGAAGUGCUAUUGCUAUAAAGAUUUUGAGUCGAGGGUUCUUGCCUCUAUGGUCUGGUGUUGUCAUCACUGCUCUUGAUUGCUUUGUAUUCUUAUUUCUUGAGAACUAUGGAGUGAGGAAGCUGGAAGCACUCUUUGCUGUCCUUAUUGCAGUUAUGGCCGUCUCAUUUGCAUGGAUGUUUGGAGAGACGAAACCAAAUGGAGUGGAACUUCUUGUUGGUGUGGUGGUCCCAAAACUUAGCUCCAAAACAAUAAAGCAGGCAGUGGGAAUUGUAGGGUGUGUUAUCAUGCCUCACAAUGUGUUUCUACAUUCGGCGCUAGUGCAGUCCAGAGACAUUGACAACCGUAAGAUUGGCAGAGUUCGAGAAGCACUUAAUUACUACUCCAUAGAGUCGACAAUUGCCUUGGCAAUUUCAUUCAUGAUCAAUUUGUUUGUUACAACAGUGUUCGCAAAGUCAUUUUAUGGUAGUGAAAUAGCCAAUAGCAUUGGCCUAGAAAAUGCUGGUCAAUAUCUUCAGGAUAAGUAUGGUGGGGGAUCGUUCCCCAUCCUUUAUAUCUGGGCUAUUGGAUUGUUGGCUGCUGGACAGAGUAGUACUAUAACUGGUACUUAUGCUGGACAAUUUAUUAUGGGAGGUUUUCUGCACAUGAGGUUGAAAAAAUGGCAGAGAGCGUUAAUAACAAGAAGUUGUGCUAUCGUCCCAACUCUGAUAGUUGCUCUUGCUUUUGACACCUCUGAGAAAUCAUUAGAUGUUCUGAACGAGUGGCUCAACGUUCUUCAGUGUGUCCAAAUCCCUUUUGCCCUGAUCCCCCUUCUUUGUCUUGUAUCCAGAGAAGAAAUCAUGGGUGUUUUCAAGAUUGGCUCUACUAUGAAGGUGAUAUCAUGGCUAGUAGCUGUGCUGGUUAUGCUGAUUAAUGGCUAUCUUUUGAUGGACUCUUUAUCUUCUGCUGUCAGUGGGAUGUUGUUUACAUCUGUUGUAGUUGCUUUUACAGGUGCAUACAUUGCCUUCAUUGUAUACCUCAUUUCACGGGGAAUUACCUUCCCCAAUUGGUUUGUAAAAAACAAAAGUAUCUCGAGCAUAGAUAAUUGAUAUAUGUUCUUAGCAGAAAGCUGAGAUCAUGUUGUACCCUUGUAGCCCGAGUUAAGUAUUUAGCCUUUAUACAAGCUAUAGCCUUCCCCAUUUCUUUCCUUUAAGAAGUGUUGGAUUGUUGGGUCUGCUCAAAGUAAGCAUUAAGAGUGAGUUUGCUGUGAUUACAUCCCAUGUUUUUUGGGUAUGACUAAUUGAGACGGUGACUGUAGCACCUGCAUUAGGAAAAUUAGUUAGAGCUUGUAAUAUUGAUCCAGCAGUUUUAGAUUUUGGUGGAAAAUAAACAAACUGUCCUCAGCUAAUCUCAAGUUUGUUCUUUGGAAUUCUGUUUAGACUUCUUAGGGAUUUCGUUAUUUU